rnacentral:rRNA from 1 species
GGCGGCGUGCCUAACACAUGCAAGUCGAACGAUGAUAGAAGAGCUUGCUUUUCUUGAUUAGUGGCGCACGGGUGAGUAAUGCAUAGAUAAUGUGCCCCUUAGUUCGGGAUAGCCACUGGAAACGGUGAUUAAUACCGGAUACUCCUUCUCAUUAUAAGAUGAGUCGGGAAAGUUUUUCGCUAAGGGAUCAGUCUAUGUUCCAUCAGCUUGUUGGUGAGGUAAUGGCUCACCAAGGCUAUGACGGAUAUCUGGUUUGAGAGGAUGAUCAGACACACUGGAACUGAGACACGGUCCAGACUCCUACGGGAGGCAGCAGUGAGGAAUAUUGCACAAUGGAGGAAACUCUGAUGCAGCAACGCCGCGUGGAGGAUGACGCAUUUCGGUGUGUAAACUCCUUUUAUUAGGGAAGAUAAUGACGGUACCUAAUGAAUAAGCACCGGCUAACUCCGUGCCAGCAGCCGCGGUAAUACGGAGGGUGCAAGCGUUACUCGGAAUCACUGGGCGUAAAGGGUGCGUAGGCUGGCUUUUAAGUCAGAUGUGAAAUCCAAUGGCUUAACCAUUGAACUGCAUUUGAAACUGGGAGCCUAGAGUUCAGAAGGGGCAGAUGGAAUUAGUGGUGUAGGGGUAAAAUCCGUAGAUAUCGCUAGGAAUAUCAAAAGCGAAGGCGAUCUGCUGGGAUGAUACUGACGCUGAGGCACGAAAGCGUGGGGAGCAAACAGGAUUAGAUACCCUGGUAGUCCACGCCCUAAACGAUGAAUGCUAGUCGUCGGGGAGCUCGUCUCUUCGGUGAUGCACUUAACAGAUUAAGCAUUCCGCCUGGGGAGUACGGUCGCAAGAUUAAAACUCAAAGGAAUAGACGGGGACCCGCACAAGUGGUGGAGCAUGUGGUUUAAUUCGAAGAUACACGAAGAACCUUACCUGGCCUUGACAUGGUAGGAACCCUUAAGAGAUUAGGGGGUGCUAGCUUGCUAGAACCUACACACAGGUGCUGCACGGCUGUCGUCAGCUCGUGUCGUGAGAUGUUGGGUUAAGUCCCGCAACGAGCGCAACCCUCGUCAUUAGUUGCUAACAGUUUGGCUGAGCACUCUAAUGAGACUGCCUUCGUAAGGAGGAGGAAGGUGAGGACGACGUCAAGUCAUCAUGGCCCUUACGGCCAGGGCUACACACGUGCUACAAUGGGGCGUACAGAGGGCUGCAAUACCGCGAGGUGGAGCCAAUCCCUUAAAGCGUCUCUCAGUUCGGAUUGUUCUCUGCAACUCGAGAACAUGAAGCUGGAAUCACUAGUAAUCGUAGAUCAGCUAUGCUACGGUGAAUACGUUCCCGGGUCUUGUACUCACCGCCCGUCACACCAUGGGAGUUGAUUUCACCCGAAAUCGGGAUGCCAAACUGGCUACCGCUUACGGUGGAAUUAGCGACUGGGGUGAAGUGGUAACAAGG